UACGUAGGGGGCAAGCGUUAUCCGGAUUUACUGGGUGUAAAGGGAGCGUAGGCGGUGCAGCAAGUCAGAAGUGAAAGCCCGGGGCUCAACUCCGGGACUGCUUUUGGAACUGUUGAACUAGAUUGCAGGAGAGGUAAGUGGAAUUCCUAGUGUAGCGGUGAAAUGCGUAGAUAUUAGGAGGAACACCAGUGGCGAAGGCGGCUUACUGGACUGUAAAUGACGCUGAGGCUCGAAAGCGUGGGGAGCAAACAGG
rnacentral:rRNA from 1 species